CGGGGGAGAGAUUCCCAGGCCUGGCUCGGCUGGAGAGCCGCCGGCGAGGGGGGGAGGGGGGUAGGGAGUUGUUUUUAACGUAAAAGCUUUAAAUGUAAAUGUUUCUAUUAAAAAACAUCAGGGAAUGUAACAUUGUUAAACAUUAACUCCCUUUCACACACGCGGGGGUAUGAUACGAAGGGAGAGUUUGAGGCCUAGGUCUAGGUUUUAGGCCUAGCUGUAGGCCUUAGGCCACCGUGAGUUAAUUGUUAAUAUAAAUGUUUUAAUUAUUUAUGUAAAAGCUUUAAAUGUAAAUGUUGCUAUUUAAAAACAUCAGGGAAUGUAACAUUGUUAAACAUUAACUCCCUUUCACACACGCGGGGGUACGAUACGAAGGGAGAGUUUGAGGCCUAGGUCUAGGCUUUAGGCCUAGCUGUAGGCCUUAGGCCGCCGUGAGUUAAUUGUUAAUAUAAAUGUUUUAAUUCAUGUAAAAGCUUUAAAUGUAAAUGUUGCUAUUUAAAAACAUCAGGGAAUGUAACAUUGUUAAACAUGAACUCCCUUUCACACACGCGGGGGUACGAUACGAAGGGAGAGUUUGAGGCCUAGGUCUAGGCUUUAGGCCUAGCUGUAGGCCUUAGGCCGCCGUGAGUUAAUUGUUAAUAUAAAUGUUUUAAUUAUUUAUGUAAAAGCUUUAAAUGUAAAUGUUUCUAUUAAAAAACAUCAGGGAAUGUAACAUUGUUAAACAUUAACUCCCUUUCACACACGCGGGGGUACGAUACGAAGGAGAGUUUGAGGCCUAGGUCUAGGCUUUAGGCCUAGCUGUAGGCCUUAGGCCGCCGUGAGUUAAUUGUUAAUAUAAAUGUUUUCAUUAUUUACGUAAAAGCUUUAAAUGUAAAUGUUGCUAUUUAAAAACAUCAGGGAAUGUAACAUUGUUAAACAUGAACUCCCUUUCACACACGCGGGGGUACGAUACGAAGGGAGAGUUUCAGGCCUAGGUCUCGGUUUUGGUAGGGUCAUGCCAAGUGUUUGCAGUAGGGGGCGAUGUUGCUACACGGACGGACAAACGGACAAAUGGACGGACGAUAUAAUAUAUUGGUGGCUAGGUCCACUUCGUUCUUACCAGUAUAAGUAACAUAACUGGUAGAUAAGUAAGUACAGUUUUAGCACUGGUAGAUUGCGCACAGCGCAGAUAAUAGCGGCACUACGGUAAAGCCUUUGCCUCGCCCCCACCUCUCUCCCCCCAGCUGCCCUACCCCCCAACCCCCACCUAUCCCUCCCCCCAGCUCUCCCGUCGCAGGUUUGGACCUUGGAAGCUGUAGUCUGGGGACCGCAAGGUUGGCGUGUAGAUGUCGGUGUCGUAGGGGUCGGCCAGCAGGCCGUCCACAGACCCUCGGCGCAGCCGCAAGCCCGUCUUGUACUUGUCUGACAUCUGCAGGAGCCUCAUGGCGUCCUCCCUCUUCAUGUCCUUGAACGCCAGAAAAAAAUGUGACUCUGGAAACAGCUGGCUUCUCGGUGGGACGUGGAACCUUCCCGGCUCACCUUCGUUGACUUGCAAGUGCUGCCGCAAAGAGUCCUUUUGCACAUCCUUGAUGAAGAUGCCAUCCUGUCCGCGGUCCUCGAUC